rnacentral:rRNA from 1 species
CGCAGCCGCCACGGUAAUACGGAGGGUGCAAGCGUUAAUCGGAAUUACUGGGCGUAAAGCGCACGCAGGCGGUCUGUCAAGUCGGAUGUGAAAUCCCCGGGCUCAACCUGGGAACUGCAUUCGAAACUGGCAGGCUAGAGUCUUGUAGAGGGGGGUAGAAUUCCAGGUGUAGCGGUGAAAUGCGUAGAGAUCUGGAGGAAUACCGGUGGCGAAGGCGGCCCCCUGGACAAAGACUGACGCUCAGGUGCGAAAGCGUGGGGAGCAAACAGGAUUAGAUACCCGCGUAGUCCCUGUCUCUUAU